GCCGGUGUAGCUCAGCUGGUAGAGCACAUCAUUCGUAAUGAUGGGGUCGUAGGUUCAAGUCCUAUCACCGGCACCA
rnacentral:tRNA from 1 species